rnacentral:rRNA from 1 species
AUUGAACGCUGGCGGCAUGCUUUACACAUGCAAGUCGAACGGUAACAGGCCUUCGGGUGCUGACGAGUGGCGAACGGGUGAGUAAUGCAUCGGAACGUACCCAGAGGUGGGGGAUAACGCAGCGAAAGCUGUGCUAAUACCGCAUGUGAUCUGAGGAUGAAAGCGGGGGACCGAGCAUCAAUGUUUGGCCUCGCGCCUUUGGAGCGGCCGAUGUCGGAUUAGCUAGUUGGUGGGGUAAAGGCCUACUAAGGCGACGAUCCGGAGCUGGUCUGAGAGGACGACCAGCCACCCUGGGACUGAGACACGGCCCAGACUCCUACGGGAGGCAGCAGUGGGGAAUUUUGGACAAUGGGCGCAAGCCUGAUCCAGCAAUGCCGCGUGCGGGAAGAAGGCCUUCGGGUUGUAAACCGCUUUUGGCAGGAACGAAACGGUGUCCGCUAAUACCGGGCGCUAAUGACGGUACCUGCAGAAUAAGCACCGGCUAACUACGUG